rnacentral:rRNA from 1 species
AUUGAACGCUGGCGGCAUGCUUUACACAUGCAAGUCGAACGGUAACAGGGUGCUUGCACCGCUGACGAGUGGCGAACGGGUGAGUAAUGCGUCGGAACGUGCCGAGUAGUGGGGGAUAACGCAGCGAAAGGUGUGCUAAUACCGCAUACGUACUGAGGUAGAAAGUGGGGGACCUUCGGGCCUCACGCUAUUCGAGCGGCCGACGUCUGAUUAGCUAGUAGGUGAGGUAAAGGCUCACCUAGGCUACGAUCAGUAGCGGGUCUGAGAGGAUGAUCCGCCACACUGGGACUGAGACACGGCCCAGACUCCUACGGGAGGCAGCAGUGGGGAAUUUUGGACAAUGGGCGAAAGCCUGAUCCAGCCAUGCCGCGUGUCUGAAGAAGGCCUUCGGGUUGUAAAGGACUUUUGUCAGGGAGGAAAUCCCUAGUGCUAAUAACACUGGGGGAUGACAGUACCUGAAGAAUAAGCACCGGCUAACUACGUGCCAGCCGCCGCAGUAA